rnacentral:rRNA from 1 species
UACGUAGGGGGCAAGCGUUGUCCGGAAUCAUUGGGCGUAAAGAGCGUGUAGGCGGCCCGGUAAGUCCGCUGUGAAAGUCCAGGGCUCAACCCUGGGAUGCCGGUGGAUACUGUCGGGCUCGAGUCCGGAAGAGGAGUGUGGAAUUCCUGGUGUAGCGGUGAAAUGCGCAGAUAUCAGGAGGAACACCGGCGGUGUAGACGGCUUACUGGACCGUGACUGACGCUGAGGCACGAAAGCGUGGGUAGCAAACAGG